UACGUAGGCAGCAAGCGUUGUUCGGAAUUACUGGGCGUAAAGAGUGUGUAGGCGGUGCUCUAAGUUCGGUGUGAAAUCUCCCGGCUCAACUGGGAGGGUGCGCCGGAAACUGGAGUGCUGGAGCGCGGGAGAGGAAAGCGGAAUUCCUGGUGUAGCGGUGAAAUGCGUAGAUAUCAGGAGGAACACCGGCGGUGUAGACGGCUUUCUGGACCAUUGCUGACGCUGAGACACGAAAGCGUGGGUAGCAAACAGG
rnacentral:rRNA from 1 species